rnacentral:rRNA from 1 species
UGGGGAAUUUUGGACAAUGGGCGAAAGCCUGAUCCAGCCAUGCCGCGUGAGUGAAGAAGGCCUUCGGGUUGUAAAGCUCUUUUAGUCGGAAAGAAAGAGUUGCAAUGAAUAAUUGUGAUUUAUGACGGUACCGACAGAAAAAGCACCGGCUAACUACGUGCCAGCAGCCGCGGUAAUACGUAGGGUGCGAGCGUUAAUCGGAAUUACUGGGCGUAAAGGGUGCGCAGGCGGUCUUGUAAGUCAGAUGUGAAAGCCCCGGGCUUAACCUGGGAAUUGCGUUUGAAACUACAAGACUAGAGUGCAGCAGAGGGGAGUGGAAUUCCAUGUGUAGCAGUGAAAUGCGUAGAGAUGUGGAAGAACACCGAUGGCGAAGGCAGCUCCCUGGGUUGACACUGACGCUCAUGCACGAAAGCGUGGGGAGCAAACA